rnacentral:rRNA from 1 species
UCGGGAAUAUUGCACAAUGGAGGAAACUCUGAUGCAGUGACGCCGCGUGCAGGAAGAAGGUUUUCGGAUUGUAAACUGCUUUAGAUGGGGAAGAAGAAAGACUGUACCCAUAGAAUAAGCUCCGGCUAACUACGUGCCAGCAGCCGCGGUAAUACGUAGGGAGCAAGCGUUAUCCGGAUUUAUUGGGUGUAAAGGGUGCGUAGACGGGAAUUUAAGUUAGUUGUGAAAUCCCUCGGCUUAACUGAGGAACUGCAACUAAAACUGAAUUUCUUGAGUGCGGGAGAGGAAAGUGGAAUUCCUAGUGUAGCGGUGAAAUGCGUAGAUAUUAGGAGGAACACCAGUGGCGAAGGCGACUUUCUGGACCGUAACUGACGUUGAGGCACGAAAGUGUGGGGAGCAAACAGG